rnacentral:rRNA from 1 species
UACGGAGGAUGCAAGCGUUAUCCGGAUUGAUUGGGCGUAAAGCGUCUGUAGGUGGUUACGCUAGUCGGCUGUUAAAGAUCAGGGCUGAACCCUGAGCAAGCAGUCGAAAUUGCGUGGCUGGAGUACGGUAGGGGCAGAGGGAAUUCCCGGUGUAGCGGUGAAAUGCGUAGAUAUCGGGAAGAACACCAAAGGCGAAAGCGCUCUGCUGGGCCGAAACUGACACUGAGAGAACGAAAGCUAGGGGAGCGAAUGGG